rnacentral:rRNA from 1 species
UACGUAGGGAGCAAGCGUUGUCCGGAAUCAUUGGGCGUAAAGCGCGUGUAGGCGGCUUUGCAAGUCGGGUGUGAAAGCCCUCAGCUCAACUGAGGGAGUGCGCCCGAAACUGCAGAGCUUGAGUACUUAAGAGGAUCGCGGAAUUCCCGGUGUAGAGGUGAAAUUCGUAGAUAUCGGGAGGAACACCAGUGGCGAAGGCGGCGAUCUGGGAAGAUACUGACGCUGAGGAGCGAAAGCGUGGGGAGCGAACAGG